UAGGGAAUCUUCGGCAAUGGGGGGAACCCUGACCGAGCAACGCCGCGUGAGUGAAGAAGGUUUUCGGAUCGUAAAGCUCUGUUGUUAAGGAAGAACGAGUGUGAGAAUGGAAAGUUCAUACUGUGACGGUACUUAACCAGAAAGGGACGGCUAACUACGUGCCAGCAGCCGCGGUAAUACGUAGGUCCCGAGCGUUGUCCGGAUUUAUUGGGCGUAAAGCGCGCGUAGGCGGUUUUUUAAGUCUGAUGUGAAAGCCCACGGCUCAACCGUGGAGGGUCAUUGGAAACUGGAAAACUUGAGUGCAGAAGAGGAAAGUGGAAUUCCAUGUGUAGCGGUGAAAUGCGCAGAGAUAUGGAGGAACACCAGUGGCGAAGGCGACUUUCUGGUCUGUAACUGACGCUGAGGCUCGAAAGCGUGGGUAGCAAACAGG
rnacentral:rRNA from 1 species